rnacentral:lncRNA from 10 species
CGCCCCCCGGCGGGCGGAGCCCGGCGCCGCGGCCAGGAUUUCCCACCUCGCUCCCGCGACUCCGCUGCGGGUCUGCACACCCGAGGACUCGGGGUACUUAACCGAAACUAGCAAUCCCAGGCGGUACAAGGCCCUCCAUCGUAGGCAAAGCACUACCUGAAUGUAGAUUUGGGCCAUACGUUGGAAAAUAAGACAUGAGAGUAUGCUCCGAUCAACUUUUACUGUUCACUGGACAACUAUUUUGGGAAUUUGCAGACCUAUAAAGCCCAUCUAUAAAUCUCAAGCAUGUCCACUUUCAGAGAAGAGAAAUGCUGACAACCAUUUAGUCUCUGAGGACAACACUUUUAAAGUGUAACAAUGUGGCAUCCAGAGCUUAUCCAGAUGAGCGGAGAGCAAAUGAAUUUCCUUCUGCUCCCCUGUUGAAGAGGAGAGAAAAAUUCUUCAAGCUGACUCCAUCAUAGGACUGGAGAGAGAUUGGAUGUCAGAGUGAUUGAUGUGCUCCUACUGGAAGAAGGCAAACAUCCAUAUGUGAACUGCCUGUGGGGUUUCCAAGGAAAGGAACGGCAGGCAGCCUCUAUGAGCUUAAAGAAGAUAACUGGGACUUUAGUCCUAUAACCUCAAGGAACAGUAUUCUGUGAACCAUCUGAGAAGCUUGGAAGAGGACCCCAAACUCCAAAUAAGAAGCUCAGUGUGUCUGACACCUUGACUGCAGGCUUGGGAGGUCCUGAGCAGAAGAUCCAGUUCAACAGUGCCUGGACUCCUGAUCCACAAAAACUGAUAACAAAUAUUUAUUGUUUUAAGAUGCUAAGUUUGUAGUCAUUUUUUAUACAGCAACAGAAAACUAAACACACACAUAAACAGUUAUAAGUGCUCACUGUAUAUGAGGCUUUUCAUUAAUAAUCUAUAUUUUAUAAUAGAAUUAGAAUAUAGAUCUGUGAAGCUGAAGACACUCAAUCCUUGCUAGAUUUAAAUCAGGAAAAUCAGCUGAGAAUCAUUCCUUGAUAGAACCUGGAAAACAAGACCCUAUGAGAGACCCUGGGAAUUACAUUAAAUUCACUGUGGUUCCCAGUGUCACUGAAGAGGUUUUCCUUUCAUAGUCAGGUAGUCACCAUACUGUUAAGCAUUUGAACACAUGGGCAACUUCCAGAAUAGUUAUGACAUUGAUAUACCAAUCUCCAAAAUUCCUAGAAUACCAUGUUUUCAUGGUUGACCUUCAAAUCAGUCAGUUCUUUGUAACAUUGAGCCAUAAAGAUAGGGCAAAUACUUAAUGUUUUACAUAUAUUCAGAGAUUGACCCUCAAAAUACAGCCCAGAGAAACUCAAAAGAAUUAACUCUAUUUCUUCAAAUUGUGUGACGCCACCAAGGCCAGAUGACUUCAGCAUUGGGAAGGCAAUAUCCAGCUGUCAUCUUCUUGAUCCUCAUAUGCUACUACUAGCAUCUAGCAUUUACUGAGCAGAUAGUUUUAUUGUCCAGUUUUUAAAGAUAAGAAAAUUGAGGUAUUAGGAAAGUUAAGUUGGUUGCCUAGGGAAACACGAAGAUAUAGCCCAGAUUCACUCCCAGGCAGGCAGAUGCCAGUGUCUGCUCUCUUUACCACCGAAAUAUCCUGCUACAUGUACAAUUUCAAUAAAUAUCUGGACUUACUGGAACAAAACAAAUCAACAACAUUCUUAUUUUCUUUCUUCAGUUUAGAUUAAAUAAUUUAAAUGUCUUCUUAAGAAGCUACAGUUUUUUGAGGCACAGAGGGAUAGGAGGGUAGGUCCUACCAGUUGAGUCACUCAGCCCUAUAGUUG